rnacentral:rRNA from 1 species
AUUGAACGCUGGCGGAAUGCUUUACACAUGCAAGUCGAACGGCAGCACGGACUUCGGUCUGGUGGCGAGUGGCGAACGGGUGAGUAAUAUAUCGGAACGUAUCCAAUAAUGGGGGAUAACUAGUCGAAAGGUUGGCUAAUACCGCAUACGUCCUACGGGAGAAAGCUAGGGACCUUCGGGCCUGGCGUUAAUGGAGCGGCCGAUAUCUGAUUAGCUAGUUGGUGAGGUAAAGGCUCACCAAGGCGACGAUCAGUAGCUGGUCUGAGAGGACGACCAGCCACACUGGAACUGAGACACGGUCCAGACUCCUACGGGAGGCAGCAGUGGGGAAUUUUGGACAAUGGGCGCAAGCCUUAUCCAGCCAUUCCGCGUGAGUGAAGAAGGCCUUCGGGUUGUAAAGCUCUUUCGCAAGGGAAGAAAACUUAUCCUCUAACAUAGGAUGAGGUUGACGGUACCUUGAUAAGAAGCACCGGCUAACUACGUGCCAGCAGCCGCUGUAAGAC